GGUUAAGCGACUAAGCGUACACGGUGGAUGCCCUGGCAGUCAGAGGCGAUGAAGGACGUGCUAAUCUGCGAUAAGCGUCGGUGAGGUGAUAUGAACCGUUAUAACCGGCGAUUUCCGAAUGGGGAAACCCAGUGUGUUUCGACACACUAUCAUUAACUGAAUCCAUAGGUUAAUGAGGCGAACCGGGGGAACUGAAACAUCUAAGUACCCCGAGGAAAAGAAAUCAACCGAGAUUCCCCCAGUAGCGGCGAGCGAACGGGGAGGAGCCCAGAGCCUGAAUCAGUGUGUGUGUUAGUGGAAGCGUCUGGAAAGGCGUGCGAUACAGGGUGACAGCCCCGUACACAAAAAUGCACAUAUUGUGAGCUCGAUGAGUAGGGCGGGACACGUGGUAUCCUGUCUGAAUAUGGGGGGACCAUCCUCCAAGGCUAAAUACUCCUGACUGACCGAUAGUGAACCAGUACCGUGAGGGAAAGGCGAAAAGAACCCCGGCGAGGGGAGUGAAAAAGAACCUGAAACCGUGUACGUACAAGCAGUGGGAGCCUCUUAAUGGGGUGACUGCGUACCUUUUGUAUAAUGGGUCAGCGACUUAUAUUCUGUAGCAAGGUUAACCGAAUAGGGGAGCCGAAGGGAAACCGAGUCUUAACUGGGCGUUAAGUUGCAGGGUAUAGACCCGAAACCCGGUGAUCUAGCCAUGGGCAGGUUGAAGGUUGGGUAACACUAACUGGAGGACCGAACCGACUAAUGUUGAAAAAUUAGCGGAUGACUUGUGGCUGGGGGUGAAAGGCCAAUCAAACCGGGAGAUAGCUGGUUCUCCCCGAAAGCUAUUUAGGUAGCGCCUCGUGAAUUCAUCUCCGGGGGUAGAGCACUGUUUCGGCAAGGGGGUCAUCCCGACUUACCAACCCGAUGCAAACUGCGAAUACCGGAGAAUGUUAUCACGGGAGACACACGGCGGGUGCUAACGUCCGUCGUGAAGAGGGAAACAACCCAGACCGCCAGCUAAGGUCCCAAAGUCAUGGUUAAGUGGGAAACGAUGUGGGAAGGCCCAGACAGCCAGGAUGUUGGCUUAGAAGCAGCCAUCAUUUAAAGAAAGCGUAAUAGCUCACUGGUCGAGUCGGCCUGCGCGGAAGAUGUAACGGGGCUAAACCAUGCACCGAAGCUGCGGCAGCGACACUAUGUGUUGUUGGGUAGGGGAGCGUUCUGUAAGCCUGUGAAGGUGGCCUGUGAGGGUUGCUGGAGGUAUCAGAAGUGCGAAUGCUGACAUAAGUAACGAUAAAGCGGGUGAAAAGCCCGCUCGCCGGAAGACCAAGGGUUCCUGUCCAACGUUAAUCGGGGCAGGGUGAGUC
rnacentral:rRNA from 1 species